UUGAACAGCAUUAUGCAGGACGUAGGCAGAGAGGACGGCAAGGAUAGCUAUGAGGGAGGCGGCUCUUGACUUGACGCUUGACCCUUUGCCAGGUCUGGACAGGAUAUACUUGACUGAGAUGUACCUGUACCCAUUGACGAACGGAAAUUACCUUUAUUGUUGAGAAGCUUCUUGCAAGGACAACUUAUGCAGAAGUAAGCCGAGGAGGGGCAAGCCAGAACCAAGCAAAAAGCAGGAAAUGAAAAAGCGCGGGCAGCAGCAAAGGAGGGGUG